GAUGAACGCUGGCGGCGUGCUUAACACAUGCAAGUCGAAGCGUAAGCGCUUUGGUUAGAUUCUUCGGAUGAAGACCUUUGUGACUGAGCGGCGGACGGGUGAGUAACGCGUGGGUAACCUGCCUCAUACAGGGGGAUAACAGUUAGAAAUGACUGCUAAUACCGCAUAAGACCACAGUACCGCAUGGUAACAGGGGGUAAAAACUCCGGUGGUAUGAGACUGGACCCGCGU
rnacentral:rRNA from 1 species